AAUCUUGCGCAAUGGGCGAAAGCCUGACGCAGCGACGCCGCGUGAGUGAAGAAGGCCUUCGGGUUGUAAAACUCUGUCCUCAGGGAAGAAGCAAGUGUCGGUACCUGAGGAGGAAGCCCCGGCUAACUACGUGCCAGCAGCCGCGGUAAUACGUAGGGGGCGAGCGUUGUCCGGAAUCAUUGGGCGUAAAGGGUGCGUAGGCGGCCUUUUAAGUCAGGUGUGAAAGACCACAGCUUAACUGUGGGGUUGCAUUUGAAACUGGAAGGCUUGAGUAUCGGAGAGGGUAGUGGAAUUCCCGGUGUAGCGGUGAAAUGCAUAGAUAUCACGAGGAACUCCGAUCGCGUAGGCAGCUUACUAAACCAUAACUGACGCUCAUGCACGAAGGCGUGGGGAUCAAACA
rnacentral:rRNA from 1 species